UGGCAGAAGCUAUUCUGGCCCAUGUGCAGAGCAUCAAGAAUGUGUGCUGCAAAAGGGAGAAGAGAAAAAAGUGCAUGAAGUAAAGAAAAAGCAGGGAAUGAGAGAAAAAAAUGGAGGAGUGAGUGCCACAGCCCAGUCAAUUGGUGAGGACAAUUGUGUAAGUGUCUGAAGAACCAUCUGGGGCUCCUUCAACAACUCAACAAGAGCUGGGUUCCUAUGAGGUCAUGGAGACCAGGAGAGCAUACAGUUUGUAUCUGCCAUUGAGGAGCCACUAUUCUUGGGCAGACUCCUUCGUGAAGAGCAGGUGGGGCCAGAAUUGAAUGCUUUCUUAGGACAUUUCACCACUGCUAUCCAUCCAUGCAAAUGUGGUUAUAUGGAAGUUAUUUUGUGUUAAAGAGAAGAUUGGGAGCAUUGGAAAAGGUUUUUUGCAUGUCUGACACCAAUGGCUCCACCUGGACCCGAUGGCUCCGCCUGGACCUGCCAAACUCCUCCUAUGGUUCCACCCAGGAACAACUCAGCUCAAGAAGACAGUUUCAACCACCUAUGAUUUCAUCUCCAUCUCAACCAAUCAGCAGUAAGCAACCAUUUCCUACUCACUCCCACCCCUUUCCCAAACUGCCUUUGGAAAAUCUCUAACCUAGGAGCCUUCAACGAGAUUGAGUUGAAUAGUAAUAACUCUGUUUCCUGCAUGGCAUGGCCAGCCCGGCAUCAAUUAAACUCUUUCCGUACUCCAA
rnacentral:lncRNA from 1 species